rnacentral:rRNA from 1 species
UACGAAGGGGGCUAGCGUUGUUCGGAAUUACUGGGCGUAAAGCGCGCGUAGGCGGACUAUUAAGUCAGGGGUGAAAUCCCUGGGCUCAACCCAGGAACUGCGUCCGAUACUGGUUGGCUUGAGUCCGGGAGAGGGAUGUGGAAUUCCAGGUGUAGCGGUGAAAUGCGUAGAUAUCUGGAGGAACACCGGUGGCGAAGGCGGCAUCCUGGACCGGUAUUGACGCUGAGGCGCGAAAGCCAGGGGAGCAAACGGG